rnacentral:snoRNA from 1 species
GUUAGCAAGUGAUGAUCUGAUCUUAUCCUACACACCGAAUCUUCUGUGUCGAUUAUUGAUCUCCGCUUAUUGUCUGAUGUUAUG